rnacentral:lncRNA from 1 species
AAGGAUUCAUCUAAGUUAGUAGUCAACAAAUAAAAUAAUAAAUAAUAACACAUCCGACAUGGUAAAAUAUGACAAAAUUUAAAAGAAUUUGGACUUUUGGUCCAAACGAAGGUAGGCGCUGCUGUUGCUGAAUUAAAGUUGGACUUUCUUUUAAGUCCAAUUUUCAAUUUUCGUUUCAGCCAUUUAGGCUACUGCUGCUGCUGCCAUAGUGUAAAAUUGGACCUUUUUAAGUCCAAAAAUCCUCAAUUUUAGUCCAUUUGGGACUGCUGCAAUAAUCAAAUUGGAUUCUUAAAUCCAAAAUUCAAUUUCCUGCCAUUUUUUAUUGCUAUUACUCCGCUACUUAGCUGCUGCCACUGAUUUGGGUUUAAACCCAUUAACAUUAGCUUCCCUUUCACGAUUUCGAUGAGGUUGACUCAAGAAGAGAAAAAUGCAAGAGAGGGGAGUCCAUUGGACUCAUUCGGAGAGAGUUCAUGAAAAGAAAAUGAGAGAAAUAAGGAUUAGACGUCUGAUGAAAUAAAUCAAUUAACUGGAUUCAUUAAAUUGCUAAACAACCAACUUAAACCAGAUACAAAAUAUAACACUUGAAGUUACGAAAUGAAAGUACUACUAACAGUGAUCACAAAGAUAUUAGACACAAAUCAGGACAAACACCUAUCCUUACGGAAUCUAAAGUCAAAUGCCAAUUAGCACGUCAUUAUUUCAAUGCAUUCAAUAAAAGAGACCAUACUAGUACUAACAUAAAAUGAGAAACAAGUAAAAUGCCAAAACUAAUUAAAUAAAAGAUAAGGUAAUGAAUAGAUCCACUUAUGAUCUACAACAAACAAUAAGAAAUUCACUACUAGUAUAAACCAAUAACAGUCCUAGAUGGAGGAACUAACAACGAUAGGCAGCCAAAAAUUUACAUAACAACAACUAAACCCAUUUGCUAUUAAGUAUACUGCUACUUGAACACAACCUUGGACUAAAACAAAACAAAAAAAAAAAAGAGUGCGAAACGAAUUCAUACAUAGUUUAAAGAUAAGCAAGUUUAGACUCAAUUUGAUCAAAGUUUUAAGCCAUCUCCUUUAGCAUACACGAAGGACAAAUAAGAAAGCAGAGAGCAGGAAGAUAUAAAAAUAACUUUACGCCGAAAUAACUUAGCGAUUUAAACAAGGAUUCAAGUAGAGUAGUCUAAUAAAUUUUAGGAUGUAUAAAAACUAUGAUAUGAGCUUUCACCCAUCCCAACCUAACUCUUUUGAGAGUACUAAAGAGCAGCCCCCAAACGUAAGCUAUUUCUCACUCAAACGGUCCCUUGAUUUGCGUUGAGAGCCAAAUGAUCUGUUGAUUAGCAAAUCACACUAACACAUUUAUGCUUACAGGAGUCUACUAAAGAGACAUUGAUCCUUGCUUAAAGGGGAAAAUCGAAUUAACCUUGUGUAUACCUUGAGCAAAAUAAUUAAACUAAUUUAAAGAUAAGAAAUAUGCUAAACCAUGAUCAAUACGAGAGAGAAUCAGCAGCUAAUCUUAACACAUAAACAAACUCAAGCUUAUUUAAUACUCAUCGUCUGGACAAAACAAUCUUAAACUCAUACCACCAAUAAGAUUUCACCUUAAAAAAAAAAAACAACUAAUCAGCAGUUUCACAUUUAUAAAACAGAUCGGAGAAAUCAGGCUUCGACAAAAAUAGAGGCAAUAAUCUUAACACAUAAGACAACAACUUAAGGCAGAAAACAACAACUAUAUAACAAGAAUUUCGAAAUCAAAUAAGAAUAACAGUAACUAGAAGCACAUAUAUGAACUCGAUUAAGUGAAAGAAUCACAUUCAUAUCUCUGAAUCAUAAGAAAACAACCAUCAAUAGAGAAAAAUAUUUAAACUCAUUCAAAAUUGACUUGACUUUAAAAUAACAGGAUAAUGAAGACCUUUUUCUGUCAUUCACACCACUAAUCCCAUUGAAUCUAAAAAAGACAAAUAACAAUACUAAACAAAUAACAACUCUACAACGCAACAGAAAGAAAAGACUGAAGAAAGAGCAAGAGAUUACCUGGUUCUGGGCAGCGACUGGAACUCGAGUCUGAACGUGGCGAACUCCACCACCACUCCGACUCAAAAUAGCCGCGGAUCAAUUGAAUUUCAGUGACGAAAAUAAGAACUCCCAAAAACUUAGCGGGGUGCUCUUUUCUUCGCCUCCCAAAACUCUCCCCCGUGAACAGUAAGAAGGAGGUUAUUUAUAGGGUUGAAAAAUCUGAAAAUCACAGCCUAGAAACGAUAUGGGACUGCGAGUAAUUUAAAAAAUCUUCAGCGGACAAGGCUACACAGCUGGAAGGUGUACUAUUCCAGUACUAAUCCAACGGAAAAAAUGAUCUGGAACGCUUGAUUCUUGAGAAGGACGAUUGAGGUAUCGAGAUCGCAACACCUGUCUCGUCCUUGUACGAUUGCAUACUGAAAGGGUAAGGGAGAGAGGAGAGGACCACGCAGGUCUGGGUCGGGUUCACUGGGGCUCGGGUCUGCUGGGU